GUGCUCACAUGGCAUCGUAUACACUAAAAUCGGAACAAAAUAGAAAUUAGUAUGGUCCUUGUACAAGGAUGACAUGCAGAUUCCUGAGGCAUUUUUAUGUUUU
rnacentral:snRNA from 1 species